rnacentral:tmRNA from 1 species
UGUAUUGAUUUUUUGGUAAAAAAGGAUUAAUAUCAUAACUGUCGGGCAAUACCGACUGCGACACCAGAGGCGCCGUGAAAUAGAUAUGUUGGACCCGGGGGCAGUACCCGGCACCUCCACCAAUUUAAUUAAAGGGGGUGAAACAGGUUAGACAGUGUAUGGUAAAGAUGGUUGCUGUGUUCGGUGAGAUACCACCGUUAUCGGUUCAAAUUUAAUAAACGCAAAUGAUAAUUUUGCACCUGUUGCUUUAGCUGCUUAAUUUUUAGCAUCUUGCAACAAAAUUCAAUUCUUUGAAAUUUGGUUUUUUCAAAGUGGGGUAGGCCGCCCAGCAACAGACAGGCCUUUUU